rnacentral:rRNA from 1 species
UACGGAGGUCGCAAGCGUUGUUCGGAAUCACUGGGCGUAAAGCGCGUGUAGGCGGCUCUGCAAGUCGGGUGUGAAAUCCCGAGGCUCAACCUCGGAACUGCACUCGAUACUGCUUGGCUCGAGUCCCGGAGAGGGUGGCGGAAUUCCCGGUGUAGGGGUGAAAUCCGUAGAUAUCGGGAGGAACACAAGUGGCGAAGGCGGCCACCUGGACGGUGACUGACGCUGAGACGCGAAAGCGUGGGGAGCAAACAGG